GAUGAAGAACGCAGCGAAAUGCGAUAAGUAAUGUGAAUUGCAGAUUUCAGUGAAUCAUCGAAUCUUUGAACGCACCUUGCGCCUUGUGGUAUUCCACAAGGCAUGCCCGUUUGAGUAUCAUUAAAUCAUCAACUCUAAAACCUUUGUGGUUUUUUUAGAGCUUGGUCUUGAGGGUUUUGCAGGCUUUUUUUUUUCGAGUCUGCUCCCUUUAAAUGCAUUAGCGAGACUUCCCUAUGCUGAACCGUCUCUUUGACGUGAUAAUUAUCUGCGUCGAAUUUUGGUUCUCGUUGGGCUUGCUUCUAAUCGUCUGUUAAAGACAAAACGGAUUUGGGUGCAUAUAUGCGCCUUUUUCCAAAACCUUUUUUGAUCUCAAAUCGGGUAGGACUACCCGCUGAACUUAAGCAUAUCAAUAAGCGGAGGA
rnacentral:misc_RNA from 1 species